rnacentral:rRNA from 1 species
UACGUAGGUGGCAAGCGUUGUCCGGAAUUAUUGGGCGUAAAGCGCGCGCAGGCGGCCUCUUAAGUCUGAUGUGAAAGCCCCCGGCUCAACCGGGGAGGGCCCAUUGGAAACUGGGAGGCUUGAGUAUAGGAGAGGAAGAGUGGAAUUCCACGUGUAGCGGUGAAAUGCGGUAGAGAUGUGGAGGAACACCAGUGGCGAAGGCGACUCUUUGGCCUAUAACUGACGCUGAGGCGCGAAAGCGUGGGGAGCAAACAGG